rnacentral:misc_RNA from 1 species
GCCCUAACCGAUCUUGGAGAUCGUAGAAUUGUAUUGCAGUGGUCACCGAUAACCGGACUCUUCGGUCCCUUGGCCCCUUUGAGGUCCAUACCUUGCUGUGUCGAUCUUUCCCACCGGAAGCUCUAGAAACCCUAAUUAUGCGUGACGAAUGCUGCCACCCACGAAGCCUAUUGGCGCUGCCGGCAUCGCCGCCCGAUCUACUGCC